CAUUUUUACAAGUUGAGUCUUGUAAUUGCAGACACCGCCAUAGAAGACAGCGAUUCAGGAUUCGGGUCAUCGGUAAAGAAGUAAAUGGCCGAGACUUGGGAUAAAUUCCUUUUUAAAAUAUUUCCUAAAUAAAUUCAAGAAAAUCUAUCUGUAUUAAAUAAUUAAGCUGUAAAAAAAUAUAAGUGAAACAAAGUUUCUUUAAUUUCUUUGCAAUAAAUAUUGACUGCUUGACAGUAGCAGCCGAGAUAAAGUUGCCGCGCCUCGGCCAUUGUGGUUAACUUUAAGAAGCGUGGAUUUUUCUAAAAGAAAACCCAUGAAAUACUGACUGGUAUAAUGGAAGUGACAAAGAAGCAUAUUCGUCAUAUUUUGCUUUAUGAGUUCAAUAACGGCCACAACGCGACGGAAACUGCGAGGAAUAUCAAUGCAAUCUAUGGGGAUCGGACAUUGAGCGUGAGCCAGUGCCAACGGUGGUUCCAGAGAUUCCGGACCGGAAACUACAGCCUGGAAGACGAUAUUCGUCCUGGCAGGUCCGUAAAGCUCGACGACGAAGCCCUGCAAGCCCUGGUGGAAGAAAACCCUCACCUAUCUGUUCAGAAACUGGCAGAGAAGCUAGGAUUUGGUCAUUCAACCAUUCAUCGACACCUGCGUGCCAUCGGGAAAGUCAACAAAUUGGGUCAAUGGGUCUAAAAAAACCCGCAUUAUUUAUGGGAUGACCCAAUACAAUAUAUUAUAUAUGGUUAUAUUUGAUUAUUGAAUACUAUAUUGUGCACACACACACACACACAUGCAUAUAUAUAUAUAUAUAUAUGUAUAUGUAUAUACACACACAUAAUCUAUUGUAUGGCAGUGUUUCAGCAUUAGUUACAUGACGUCAGUGAUGAGUGUGUGUGAGUUUAUUCAGGUGAAAGACUGUCUUGGAAAUAUAAAGAAAAAAAACUUUGUUAUAAAUCAUUUAGACUUCAUAUUUAGUACCAUUUAAUGAGUCUGAAAUAAUAUUUUUACUAAAAAAAAUAUUAAAAAAUCUUGUAUUUACUGAAGCAGCUUUUGUUGCAAUUGAGAAAUAUUGUUUUAUGAAUUUCUCUCUCCAUAACAUUUAACUGAAAUCCGUUUAAAAAUCAUUCAGUUGCUGCCAGGACCAUUCCCAAUGUAAUAUCAUUCCUUUGUGACACUGAUAAUAAUAAUAAUAAAAGACUUGAAAGUGAUUGCUUAUUCCGACAGUUACUUUAUUACCAUUUACCAAUCCAACAUAUUAAAAAUCCUAACGAUUUCACAACUGACAACAUUAAACAUGGCUGCCCUCAUGACGAUGAUGAUGAUGAUGAUAUUUACGUUUUGUUUUUAAUUACAACUCACGAUUUUAGUCUUUAAUUAAUGUUGGAUAUCAACUCCCAGAGCCAACAAUUCCAUAACUUGGCCUUUUUUAAUUUUAAAUUUGUCUCCAUUAAAACGUUUUUACUAGUUUGGUUGGAAAGCAUUUGUAAUUUGUGUGUGUGUGUGUGUGUUACGUUGACCGAAUUAUACGAAAUGCUCCGGCUCCAAGGCGCUCGCUUUUAUUAUCAUUUAAAAUAUUAUUAUUAUUA